GCCCUGGCUCAUUGGUAGAGCAUCUGCUCUGCAUGCAGAAAGCCCCAGAUUCAAUCUUCGGGUCAGGCU